rnacentral:rRNA from 1 species
UAAAAGGUACUCCGGGGAUAACAGGCUGAUACCGCCCAAGAGUUCAUAUCGACGGCGGUGUUUGGCACCUCGAUGUCGGCUCAUCACAUCCUGGGGCUGAAGUAGGUCCCAAGGGUAUGGCUGUUCGCCAUUUAAAGUGGUACGCGAGCUGGGUUUAGAACGUCGUGAGACAGUUCGGUCCCUAUCUGCCGUGGGCGCUGGAGAACUGAGGGGGGCUGCUCCUAGUACGAGAGGACCGGAGUGGACGCAUCACUGGUGUUCGGGUUGUCAUGCCAAUGGCACUGCCCGGUAGCUAAAUGCGGAAGAGAUAAGUGCUGAAAGCAUCUAAGCACGAAACUUGCCCCGAGAUGAGUUCUCCCUGACUCCUUGAGAGUCCUGAAGGAACGUUGAAGACGACGACGUUGAUAGGCCGGGUGUGUAAGCGCAGCGAUGCGUUGAGCUAACCGGUACUAAUGAACCGUGAGGCUUAACCUUACAACGCCGAAGGUGUUUUG